rnacentral:rRNA from 1 species
UACAGGGGGUGCAAACGUUGCUCGGAAUCAUUGGGCGUAAAGCGCACGUAGGCGGUUCGUUAUGUCGGAUGUGAAAGCCCUUGGCUUAACCGAGGAAGUGCAUCCGAAACUGGCGAGCUAGAGUACGAAAGAGGAUCGCGGAAUUCCCGGUGUAGAGGUGAAAUUCGUAGAUAUCGGGAGGAACACCGGUGGCGAAGGCGGCGAUCUGGGUCGAUACUGACGCUGAGGUGCGAAAAGCGUGGGGAGCAACAGG